GCGCCCGUCGCUUCCGUCCGCUGAAGAAAUACGAAAUCGAAGCGAAAAUCGCGCAAAAGCGCGCGGAAAGGCCACCCCAACGCGGGUUCGAAUCCCGCCGGGCGCG
rnacentral:tRNA from 1 species